UCAAAGAUUAAGCCAUGCAUGUCUAAGUCCAAGCUGUGUUCACACGGCGAGACCGCGGACGGCUCAUUAAAUCAGUCGUGGUCCAAAUGGGCCAGUGCAAAUCCUACUUGGAUAACUGUGGUAAUUCCAGAGCUAAUACAUGCAACUGAUAUCCCGAAGGCGGUGUUUGGGCUUGCUUGCCUUGCGCUGCGCUGCUCUGACGGAUGCUUUUAUUAGACCAAGCCGCUGAGGACUUGAGGGUUCGCGCUCUCUUGUCUGACUCGUGUGAUGGUGACUCUGGAUAACCAAAUUCUGACAAGCGCACGUACUUCUCUUCUGAGCGAGACGGCGCUGCCACUUUCGAGUGUCUGCCUUAUCAGCUAUCAACCGUUCGUUAUGCGCGACCGAUGGCUUUGACGGGUAACGGGGAAUCAGGGUUCGAUUCCGGAGAGGCAGCCUGAGAGACGGCUACCACGUCCAAGGACGGCAGCAGGCACGCAAAUUACCCAAUCCCAGCAAAUGGGGGAGGUAGUGACGAAAUCUAACGAUGCGGGCGCCCUUUCUGGGGCCCCGCAAUCGGAAUGGGCACUUUCUAAACAACCUGUUGAGAAC
rnacentral:rRNA from 1 species